CGGUCGCUGAGGGAACAUUGUUCAUUAUGACACCUGCUGACUGAUGGAAGGAAGCAUGCUUCAGGACAAAAUGUGACUACAAGUUGACAACAUUGCACUGGCGGGAGCAGCGACGCUGAAAAUCCACUUUUAGGGGAACGCUGCAACACAGCUGCUGAGACGUGGCCAUUAGUUGAUGUGUCUUGUGGACGGAAAGCGUGUCAACAGUUGCUGAUAUUCAUGAGUGGCCACAGGAUUUGCAUGGUCACUUGAGUCCAGACUGCAGGACCAGAUGGAUGAAAGAAGAACGCGGAAAGAACAUGUUCAAGAAAUAAAAUGUUUCGAUGCAUAAUACAAACCCCAAAACCAGUGAAGUGGCCCUACGAUGAGGGGGCGACUUGUCCAGGGUGUACCCCGCCUUCCGCACGAUUGUAGCUGAGAUAGGCGCCAGCGCCCCCCACGACCCC